AUGCACUGCAACCAUUGCCCAGAAGACAGAUGUGAGUCUUGUAGAGAGAAGGACCUGCCUGUCUGCCUGUCUGUCCACAGAGGUGGCUUAUACAAAGGGUGGAGAAAGAUAUGAUAAGGAAGAAGCUUCAGGCCAGCAGGUAGAAAUUAUGGCAUCUGCUGUCAGCCUCAGGCAAUCAGAACCACUGAACAUCUGUGAGCUUUGGAGGGAUACAAUGAGAUCUAUGCAUCAGAAAGAUAAGUCUGACAGUGAUGUGAAAGAUGAUUUUGAGGUGAGAAAGAGGGGAGAUGGAAAGAUCUGGAACAGCAAUAGUCCAGACAACAUCUGGACUUUGAUAUUCAACUCUGGGCUCCAUAUUUGAAAAGAACAUUUCCAAGCUGGAGAGCUUUCAGAGGAAAGUGACCAGGAUGAUGAGCUUUAUUACCAUAUCAUCAGAGCAUCAGUUGAAGGAGCAGAAGUUGUUUUGCCUAGAGAACAGAGGAACUAUCCUCCUUCUAAACUUUCCUGUUCCUUCCAGUUGACCAGAUUCACAACCUGGAAGUCAACAUCUAUUCUUCUUUCUCCCUCACCUUUCAUAUCUAAUCAGUUGCCACUUCUUGUCCGUUUUACCUCCAUGGCAUAUCUCCCAUCAUACGUCUCCCUCCUCUCCACUCAGCCACACCCUUGUCAUCUUUCUCCUGGACUCCUGCAGUAGCCUUCUAACCAGGCUUCUAGCAUCUUCCCCACAGGUGUCAUAAUAACAUUCUUAAAUCCAAGUAAGUCUACAUCACUCCUCUGCUCAAGAAUUUUCAUUGGCCCCUUCUAAGAUAAGAUAAAAAUUUCUGGGCAUGGUAUUAAAAUCCAUUCACAAUCUGGAUCAAGGCUAACUUCUCAGAAAUCUCUCUUUAUUCCUCUUUGCGUCUUCUAUAUUCCAGACAAAGUGGCCUAGUUAUUAUUCCAAGAACUUAGCUUUGCAUUUCUUCCUUCACCUUUGCAGAUAUUGUUCCCCAAGCCUAAAAUGUACUCCUUUUUUACCUCUACCCUAGCUUCCUGCAAAGCUCCAUUUAAGGUACCACACCCUCUGGGAAGCCAUCUUUGGAGCUGCUAUUCCUCUAACACACACACACACAUACACACACACACACACACACACACAUACUCAUGAAUUGUAGAACAGCAGUACAUUCAUCCAACUGGGCUUCAAGGUUUUCAAAGCAUUUCAAAGCAUUCAUCAUUUCAUCUGAUUGUCACAACUUGGAAGUUUGCAACACACUCAUGGCCAACCUUCCUAAUGCUUCAAUUGGCUAUGAAGACUAUCUUCCCCAAAAUUUCAUUAAAUAUGUAAGUUUUGUACACAGCCUCCUAUCCUUUUCCCUCCCUAAUGUGGAAGUCAGUUUACCACAGAAUCACUCAUUUGGAGAAGCAUUUGCUG